rnacentral:rRNA from 1 species
UACGUAGGGUGCAAGCGUUGUCCGGAAUUAUUGGGCGUAAAGAGCUCGUAGGUGGCUUGUCGCGUCGGCUGUGAAAACUGGAGCAUCACCUCAGCUGCAGUCGAUACGGGCAGGACUUGAGUGAUCGUCAGGGGAGGACUGGAAUUCCUGGUGUAGCGGUGAAAUGCGCAGAUAUCAGGAGGAACACCGGUGGCGAAGGCGGGUCUCUGGGCAGUAACUGACGCUGAGGAGCGAAAGCGUGGGGAGCGAACAGG